rnacentral:tRNA from 1 species
ACUGAGGUAGUCUAAUAGAUACUCGAUUUCGACUCGAGAGAACUUAAAAACUUUAAGCCCCAGUA